CCCGACAACCGUCUCUAUAGAGCUUCUAUGGCAGCGAAUUUUAGAAUUGUUGCAAUAGACAACUCAAUGGCUACGGUUAUUUUAGGAAAAAUAUUGUACUUUUGAUUUUUGUCCCCAAAAUAUAUUUCCCUCCACAAAUUUUGCAAGCGCUAAAUAUUUUCAUCUCAUUAAAGAUUCUAAAAGAAAAAGACCUUUUCCAGAAAACCCAUUUUCAUUCAAAAUCACUAUGCUAUUGAGUUCCGGAAAACAAUGGGGAAGCUUUUGAUGAAGAAAACAACAGUGAACGGCGAGCUCUCUGGUGAAUGACGAGCUCUCUGGCGAAGCUCGUUGGUAUUCUUGGACAGCAAGUUCUUAUUCUACAGUGUGAAGCUCUAAUGGUCUUCUUCAACAGCGAACUUUUGUUUAUAAAGAUAUAAAGUCAUUCUCAAAAUGUCUCUGAACAUGAACUAAAAUCCAUUGUUGGUUCGAAGCAUUCUUUGACAUCUCGAUACGGCACGUCUAUCUUGGUGACCAGGUAACGUAUCCAUUUAUAUUUGUAUUCAUUUUUCAAUCUACGACAAUAAAUGUUGAAUAACUGGCAAGCACCAUUCAAAUUAUCAAGUGUCAUGAAAAGCGAUAACCAAUAAUUGAUGGACAGUUAGUCUUAAGCACCACAAUCCCCGGGUUUGAAGUUAUUCACUCUUAAGUUGCUAUUGUUAAGCAAAUUAGGUAAUAGACACCCCCAGUGAAUAACCUUAUUAGGACUCACAUGCUAUGUUAGAGUAAACCUUCAACCAGUUGAAACAUAGGAUUUUAAGGGUACACUUACAUAAAUAAUUUUUUAUCGUGAAAGACAUGUCAUACAAAAAUCUAUUUCAUAGUUAAGUGGCAGAAUCAACUCUCUAUCCUUUGCCUGCUUUGCCAACAAAUCAUUUUAUUUUUUUAUUUAUUUGACCUCUUUAACAUAUGAUUACAUGAGAUAUGUUAAUCAAGUUUGCACAUGAAACCUUGUAUAGCUUGUCUUGCUAUUCUAUUGUCUCCUUUGUUAUUUCGCAAACCUUCAACAAUAUGUAAUUAUUGUUAAUUUUAGUGACGAAUUUCAGUUUUGCACGAGACUUCUAAGUCAUAUGUUGUGUAUGUAUAAUGUAUUGCCUUAUUUUUAUUGAGCUACAUUAAGUAAAAGUGUUGAGUGAUUUUAUCUCGUCCUCAAUAGUUAAAAGAAAAUAAAACUUGAAAUUGCAAUGAUGUGACUUUCUCAUUUCUGUGACAAAUUUGUUGGGCAAGAGUCAAGACUUAUUGUUCCUACAAUUUGUUGUAGACAAUCCAAAGCUGACAAGAUAACGUAGAAUAUUGGAAUACUAAUUUUCUAUAAUUAGUUUUGAUUAUGAAUUUUUGCCCCAUUUGUACAAAGCUUCUUAAAUGGUAGAAGUUGUUAUACCACUUAACUUCUCAAUAUUUGUUGGGUUCUACGAUUAACACUGCCAUGUUUGGUGUGCAAUUAAUGUGGAGGUUUGAGAUUUGGUUAAUAAUUCAAGAUAAUUUAUAACUUUGAAAGGUUAAGUUCUCUUGAUAUUGCUUGUACUCGUGAAUUUAUUGGCUUUAAUGUUUUGCUCAUGUCAUGUAGGAUAUUCAAUGGAUAUUGGAGAUAAAAGUUGGAUGAAUCUCCUAAGAUCCACCAUGAAUGUAUUCGUGUCGUUAAUGAUUUUCUUGAUAAGUCAUUUGAAAGCUCGUAAAUGGACCAAUAAAACUCCAUAUUCUGAUUUCUUUAUUUUUGAGAUUCUAAAUUUCUGCUCAUUUUCUGCUGCUAGAUUCUUGAUUUCUGCUUAUUUGUUGUGUUUUUGUUUCUUUGUCAUACAUGUUGGAACUAUAGUUGUAUUAGUUAUUAAGAUUCUGUGUUUAUUUUUUUGCUACACUUCUCUUUGCAUCUCCCAUUUAGGCCAUUGAGUAGCAGAAUCUCGAAAGUUGGAUUCCAAGCUUGAGUCCAUUGGUUGCUAUUCAUCUUCGCGAAGCUAAAAUCUUCCUUGGUUAAUGGUUGAAUAUUGAUCUUUUGACCAGUGAGUUUUUUCAAGUAAGAAACAAAAGAAUAUGCUGCUGCUACUGAUUGAUUUCAUCAGAGGAGCAGCCUUUCGAGGAGCAGCCUCUUGACCAGCAACCUGUAGAGGAUCAAGUGCAAAUGAAUUCAGUCACUCCUCCAACAGAUGAACAACUUGAAGAACAAGGCUGAAAUAGAGAAAAUUGAAAAACAAAUGAGCGCAGUUAGUCUGUUGAUGCAUUUUCAGCCGUCAUGGGUCCUAAACAUCCAGGACGUCUAAAUCUCUAUGGAGUGGGUGUUACAAAGACUACUUUAAAAAAGUGUGAAAUUCUGAACCAACUUUAAAUACAACAAAUGAUGUAGUGCAACAAAUGCAAGAAAGGAUGCAAAAAAUGGAGAAACAAAUGGAGGAACAAAAGAGAACUAUGUGACAAGAAGUUAUUGCAGAUAUAAUACAACUCAACAUGCAGGAUUAAUUGAUCCCUAACAUACUAGCAGCAUUGUCCAUUCCUUCACCAAGAGAAGCUACUUCUACUCAAGCGGCUGAACAAGGUGAUGAACUCGAACAGGGGGAUGAAAAGAGUACUGAAGGCUUGACAUAGGAGCUGAAUUGGAUUAAUGUUAACUUUAUCUAUGUUCUAGAAAUCUUUUAUUUUGGAAGAUUGUUGGAUUACAAUUGCACACGCAAGUGUACUUAGUCUCUAAAGUGGUAAAGCGGCUCUUUCGAGCUAGAUGUCGAACCCACAGGGAUCUUAAUAAGGCUAAUUUCUUCUUUUCAACGAACUACACUAAUUACGAUCGUGUGAAGGAUUUGAGAUAAUUUGUUAAUAGGAUGUAAGAAAAUUUUCUACGAAUAAGAGCAAUGCAGUAGUUAUGUAUAUUAAUCAGAUUACAAGAAAUUC